rnacentral:rRNA from 1 species
GACGAACGCUGGCGGCGUGCCUAAUACAUGCAAGUAGAACGCUGAAGGAGGAGCUUGCUUCUCUGGAUGAGUUGCGAACGGGUGAGUAACGCGUAGGUAACCUGCCUGGUAGCGGGGGAUAACUAUUGGAAACGAUAGCUAAUACCGCAUAAGAGUAGAUGUUGCAUGACAUUUGCUUAAAAGGUGCAAUUGCAUCACUACCAGAUGGACCUGCGUUGUAUUAGCUAGUUGGUGGGGUAACGGCUCACCAAGGCGACGAUACAUAGCCGACCUGAGAGGGUGAUCGGCCACACUGGGACUGAGACACGGCCCAGACUCCUACGGGAGGCAGCAGUAGGGAAUCUUCGGCAAUGGACGGAAGUCUGACCGAGCAACGCCGCGUGAGUGAAGAAGGUUUUCGGAUCGUAAAGCUCUGUUGUAAGAGAAGAACGAGUGUGAGAGUGGAAAGUUCACACUGUGACGGUAUCUUACCAGAAAGGGACGGCUAACUAC